rnacentral:rRNA from 1 species
AUUGCAGGCUGCAACCCGCCUGUAUGAAGUUGGAAUCGCUAGUAAUCGCGGAUCAGCAUGCCGCGGUGAAUACGUUCCCGGGCCUUGUACACACCGCCCGUCACACCAUGAGAGUCGGGAACACCCGAAGUCCGUAGUCUAACUUUCACGAGAGGACGCGGCCGAAGGUGGGUUCGAUAAUUGGGGUGAAGUCGUAACAAGGUAAC